GAUGAACGCUGGCGGCGUGCCUAAUACAUGCAAGUCGAGCGAACGGACGAGAAGCUUGCUUUUCUGAUGUUAGCGGCGGACGGGUGAGUAACACGUGGAUAACCUACCUAUAAGACUGGGAUAACUUCGGGAAACCGGAGCUAAUACCGGAUAAUAUUUUGAACCGCAUGGUUCAAAAGUGAAAGACGGUCUUGCUGUCACUUAUAGAUGGAUCCGCGCUGCAUUAGCUAGUUGGUAAGGUAACGGCUUACCAAGGCAACGAUGCAUAGCCGACCUGAGAGGGUGAUCGGCCACACUGGAGCUGAGACACGGUCCAGACCCCGACGGGAGGCAGCAGUGGGGAAUCUUCCGCAAUGGGCGAAAGCCUGACGGAGCAACGCCGCGUGAGUGAUGAAGGUCUUCGGAUCGUAAAACUCUGUUAUUAGGGAAGAACAUAUGUGUAAGUAACUGUGCACAUCUUGACGGUACCUAAUCAGAAAGCCACGGCUAACUACGU
rnacentral:rRNA from 1 species